CCUAGAGUUCCCCCGAAUACUUCAUUAGGAUCGAUACAUAAAUUCUUUGAAGGAUUGCACCGUCUCUACUGAAGUGUUUGGGGGAACUCCGGG